AUGAACGCUAGCGACAGGCUUAACACAUGCAAGUCGAGGGGUAACAGGGUAGCAAUACCGCUGACGACCGGCGCACGGUGAGUAACGCGUAUGCAACCUGCCUAUAACUGGGGAAUAGCUCCCUGAAAGGGGAAUUAACACCGCAUAACACUAUUGAUUCGCAUGGAUUAGUAGUUAAAUGUAGCGAUACAGGUUAUAGAUGGGCAUGCGUGACAUUAGCUAGUUGGUGAGGUAACGGCUCACCAAGGCUACGAUGUCUAGGGGUUCUGAGAGGAAGGUCCCCCCACACUGGUACUGAGACACGGACCAGACUCCUACGGGAGGCAGCAGUGAGGAAUAUUGGUCAAUGGGCGCAAGCCUGAACCAGCCAUGUCGCGUGCAGGAAGAACCUGCCCUAUGGGUUGUAAACUGCUUUUAUAGUAGAAGAAACACAUCUACGCGUAGAUGUCUGCCAGUAUACUAUGAAUAAGCAUCGGCUAACUCCGUGCCAGCCGCCGC
rnacentral:rRNA from 1 species